AUUUGCUGCUUGGGGAAUUGAUUAUUUGAAGUAUGAUAACUGUAAUAAUGAUGACUCCAAGCCAACUUUUAGGUACCCUGUAAUGACCCAAGCUCUGAUGAAAGCAGGUCAUCCCAUAUUCUUUUCUCUUUGUGAAUG